UGAAGCUAGUCAGUCAACUGUAUUGUGUGCUUUAGUUGUGACUAGCUUCACACUGAUAGUAUUGAAAUAAAGCACACAAUACAGUUGACUGACUAGCUUCA
rnacentral:pre_miRNA from 1 species